rnacentral:rRNA from 1 species
AACUCUCAACAACGGAUAUCUUGGCUCCCGUAACGAUGAAGAACGCAGCGAAAUGCGAUACGUAGUGUGAAUUGCAGAAUUCCGUGACCCAUCGAAUCUUUGAACGCAAAUUGCGCUCGAGGCUUCGGCCAAGAGCAUGUCUGCCUCAGCGUC